UUAUUAAAAAAUAUUCAUACUGACGUGCAAAUUGGGAUUAUUCAAUCAUUUCUUUUUUCUGAAACAUAAAAAUUAUUAUUAAUAAUAUAAUAAUAAUCCUCAUGUUCUAGCCAGUUUAUAAUCAUAAUAAUAAUAACAAAAAUGAAUUUCUAAUCCAAAUAUUUAU
rnacentral:snRNA from 1 species